rnacentral:rRNA from 1 species
CGGACCCCACUGCUAUCGGGAUAGGACUAAGACAUGCUAGUUGAGCGCUUCCAGCCAACACGGGAGCGCAGCGCACAGCUCAGUAACACGUGGCUAAUCUGCCCUUGGGACCGGAACACCCCCGGGAAACUGGGGCUAAUUCUCGAUAGGUGAAGAACUCUGGAAUGAGUCUUUGCUUAAAAGACGUUUGCGUUAUGCUCGUAGAUGUCGCCCAAGGAUGAGGCCGCGACCGAUCAGGUUGUUGGUGAGGUAAUGGCUCACCAAGCCUUUUACCGGUGCGGGCCGUGAGAGCGGGAGCCCGGAGAUGGGCACUGAGACAAGGGCCCAGGCCCUACGGGGCGCAGCAGUCGCGAAAACUUUGCAAUACACGAAAGUGUGACAGGGCUAUCCCGAGUGCCAUCCGCUGAGGAAGGCUUUUACCCAGUCUAGAACGCUGGGGGAAUAAGGAGAGGGCAAGUCUGGUGUCAGCCGCCGCGGUAAUACCAGCUCUCCGAGUGGUGUGGAUGUUUAUUGGGCCUAAAGCAUCCGUAGCUGGCUAAGUUAGUCCCUUGUUAAAUCCACCGAAUUAAUCGUUGGAUUGCGGGGGAUACUGCUUGGCUAGGGGACGAGAGAGGCAGACGGUAUUUCCGGGGUAGGGGUGAAAUCCUAUAAUCCCGGGAAGACCACCAGUGGCGAAGGCUGUCUGCUAGAACGCGCCCGACGGUGAGGGAUGAAAGCUGGGGGAGCGAACCGGAUUAGAUACCCGGGCAGUCCCAGCUGUAAACGAUGCAGGCUAGGUGUUUGGACGGCCACGUGCCGUUCUAGUGCCGCAGGGAAGCUGUUAAGCCUGCCGCCUGGGGAGUACGAUCGCAAGAUUGAAACUUAAAGGAAUUGGCGGG